GUGAGGAAUAUUGGACAAUGGGCGCAAGCCUGAUCCAGCCAUGCCGCGUGCAGGAAGACGCAUCUAUGGUGUGUAAACUGCUUUUGUACGGGAAGAAACACUCCCUCGUGAGGGAGCUUGACGGUACCGUAAGAAUAAGGAUCGGCUAACUCCGUGCCAGCAGCCGCGGUAAUACGGAGGAUCCAAGCGUUAUCCGGAAUCAUUGGGUUUAAAGGGUCCGUAGGCGGUUUAAUAAGUCAGUGGUGAAAGCCCAUCGCUCAACGAUGGAACGGCCAUUGAUACUGUUAGACUUGAAUUACAAGGAAGUAACUAGAAUAUGUAGUGUAGCGGUGAAAUGCUUAGAUAUUACAUGGAAUACCAAUUGCGAAGGCAGGUUACUACUUGUGGAUUGACGCUGAUGGACGAAAGCGUGGGGAGCGAACAGGAUUAGAAACCCCUGUAGUCA
rnacentral:rRNA from 1 species